UCCGACGAGAAAAGAUGGUUGCACAACUUUCCCUGUCGAGAUAUGAAAUUUUCUCGCUUUUAGUCAUUGAGACUUCUAAUCAAGAAUAUCAAGUCUAAACAAAAUUGAAUCGCAGAAUGACUGCAGAGGCCAAUACACGAGGCUUUUCAAACGUCGAGAAAAACAAAACUGAAUGGUAAUUGGGGGAUCGUAGACGCGAGGCAGUUUGGCGAAACGAAAGUAUUUAACAGCCAGCUCGCCGUCCGCAUUCUCAGGUGACAAGCUUUUACGGCGCUCACCUGGACCUGGCUGGGGCAUUUCUGCGCCACCGUGGAAACUAUAGCGCGCCAUAUCGCUACAUAUAUGUACAUUCGUCGUUCAGCAAAUAAGGGACUUGUUAAGUGCACCGAGGCUGGCGAGUCACGCCGUCCUGAGACGGGUUUCGCGCACUCUUUGACCAUAAGGGGAACACAAUACUUACCUCUUAUCUCUGCAUCCUGUACUUGCAGCUGGAAAGUAUAAAACUGUAUCGAGAGAGCAAAUGCUCUGUGCUAGUAGCGCUCCAUUUGUUACGAUAUAUCUUAAUAUUUAAUCUGAAGACCACUUUAAUGUCUGACAGAAAUUUACUGUGUUUAGAGGUAAUUCGAGGAUAAGACAUUCAGGAAACAGUAUUUAUGCAAUGUAUGAACUGCAUACAAAUCUAAACAUUAGAACGUGUCUCUUCUUAAAAUAGAGAUGCAAUGAUAUAGGGACAAAACCUUGUAGUACGUAGAUGGAUUCGUUAUGUAACAUAAGGAAAGUGGAUAUAAGCAACUUCGCAGAAAUAAAUCAGGUGUUUUGUGGUU